GAUCAAAAAGGCUGAGAAAUUCCACGCCGUGCCAGCAAACGUCUGGGCCUUAGGUACUGUGCUGUACUUCAUGGUGCUUGGAUCUUUGCCCUGUCCUUUAAACGACUUUGAUUCCGGGUAUCUGAAGACAAAUGAGAAGGAUUUAUCAAAGGAAAUCUGUGAUCUGUUAAGUUGGUGCCUGGCCCUGAAUCCAAGUGAUCGUCCGACGCUCAAGGAGAUCUUAGAUCAUGACUGGUUUAAAACUGAGUCUGACAAAGAAGAGCUACUCGUAUACAAAAUCAGGGCACCAUCCACACAAAAAUGAAAAGGAUGAAGCUGAAUGACUGAAGGAGAGGGGAAUGGAGUUUGGAGUUUGAAGGAGGUUGUAUUUCAGACUUCAUGAACACAGACCGCUGGCUGAACGUCUGAUGCAGAUCCUGUCUCAUCCCUGAACACAUAAAAAAAAUUAAUUCUUAAUGUUUUUAUAUUUUAAAGUUGUAAAAUAAAGUAUCUAAUAUAUAGUAAGUUCUCUAUAUAAUCAGCUAUGUCUGGCUCUCUCGAGGGUUUUUUUCUCCUAGGAGUUUAGGGAGUCAGGUUUAUUAAUGUAAAACUGCUUUGAAAUAAUUUGACAAUUGUGAAAAGUGCUACAGUAUAUAAAUAAAAUUGAAUUGAAUAUGGAAGACUUUUCUUUAGCAGAUGUUUUAAUCUGCUUUUUUACUUUUUAUUUGAUCAAACUGAUUAACUUGGGUUACUUAUGUACAUGUUUUUCAUAUGCAAUAUCAAACCCUUGACCUUGGUAUAAAAUACUGGGAGUUAACGUAGUAAAUCCAAUCAGACACAAUGUUAAAUCUGAUGCUGUUUUAACCCAAAUAAAUAAGUACACUUGACCUAAACCUUAAAAUAUACCCUUCUUUACUCUGUGUUUUAGUUUAAUUUGCAUGACUUCUCUCAAUCAUCAAGACAUUUUGAUUAACUUAUUUUAUUUAAAUCUGUGGUAAUCUUAUGUAAACGGCUACUCUGCAGCUAUUUCUGUUAUCAUUGUUGGCUACUAUUUUUGUUGUAAAGUUAAGAGCUGAUUAAAAGUACAUUACUUUACGAAAUACAUGUAAUAUAUAUUUAUGAUAAUAUAAUUGCAAUUGGCCUUAAAUGAAUCUAGAAUAAACUUGAAAUGAUUGAAGAGCUCGAAAGACCUGCUGGCGAAAACAUAAAAGCAACAAGAUCUCACUUCAAACAUUUAGCACUUUUUACACAAUAAUUGCAAGAUUUUUUAAAAUACAUGUUUUUAGGAAAAAUAAAUGAUUUAACUUAACUUAAAGCCAUUUAGUCAAAGGGUAUUCAGUUUUUUUUUAGGGCAAACAGAUCAUUAUUAAGACUUUUACCCUCUUUUAAUUAUGCACAUGUUUGUCAUUAAAUCUGUCUAUAAAUAAAAACUAGGCAAAAUGGUGUUAUCAGUCAGAAGGAUGUUUUAUGAACUUAAUAAAACCAAUCCAAGUUCACCUAAACCAUAUUAGACACUGCUCAUUUGUGAUCACCUACCCCUAGUGGUAAACUAUACUAGUCAACAUUUGAAGUGGAUCAAAAACGUUUAUCAAAGUUGUCCUAAGACAAGAACGGGUAUUGGUAUUGGUUUUAAGACAACUUUUAGAAAAGGUUUUGAUCCACUUUAAUUGUUGACUAGUGUAGUUGGUAACUGGUUUUUGAAACAGUUAUCACAAAAAUGAAGUCUUCAGACUGGAUUUGGCUAAUUAUCAUUCUUUGUUAUUAUUAUAAUUUCUGACAACGGUCUAUUAACAGUGUUUUAUCCCUCUUUUCUUUGAUUAAGUGGCGGUUUCCCGGACAGGGAUUAGACUAGUCCUAGACUAAAACCUUUUUAAGAGCUGUCCAAACUGAAAACAACUUGCACUGACAUAUCUUAAAAUAGAUCAGUCCCAUUUGUUUUGCCUCAAAAUGCAGAGAUGUAAUGUUUUUAGAAAGGCAUGUUUCAGUUAUAUUUCCUGAAUCCUAAUUAAUCUAAGGUCUAGUCCUGGUUUAAGCUAAUCCCUGUCCGGGAAACCACCCCAAAAUAUCUUCACCUCUUUGACUUUGUGUCAAAUUCCUUUCUUUUCU